AGCGAACGUUUGCGGCGGGCUUAACACAUGCAAGUCGAACGAGAAUCCCUUCGGGGAGGAAAGUGGCGCACGGGUGCGUAACACGUGGAUAACCAACCCAUUGGUUUGGGACAACACCGGGAAACUGGUGCUAAUACCAGAUGUGUCGCAGCUGUCUUCAGGCGGUUGCGAGAAAGGCCCGCAAGGGUCGCCAACGGACGGGUCCGCGUCCCAUCAGCUAGUUGGUGAGGUAAUGGCUCACCAAGGCAAAGAACGGGUAGGCUGGUCUGAGAGGAUGAUCAGCCACACUGGAACUGAGACACGGUCCAGACUCCUACGGGAGGCAGCAGUGGGGAAUAUUGCGCAAUGGGCGGAAAGACCUGACGCAGCCACGCCG
rnacentral:rRNA from 1 species